rnacentral:rRNA from 1 species
UACAGAGGGUGCAAGCGUUAAUCGGAAUUACUGGGCGUAAAGGGCACGUAGGCGGUUAGUUAAGUUGGAUGUGAAAGCCCCGGGCUCAACCUGGGAAUUGCAUUCAAAACUGGCUAACUAGAGUAUGUGAGAGGGGGGUAGAAUUCCAAGUGUAGCGGUGAAAUGCGUAGAGAUUUGGAGGAAUACCAGUGGCGAAGGCGGCCCCCUGGCACAAUACUGACGCUGAGGUGCGAAAGCGUGGGGAGCAAACAGG